GUUUCAACCAAUCGACAUACCGCUUGACGUGUAUGCGCUAUCCAUUGAUAAUUUUUUUUUUUUUUUAGGUUUUAUUAUGUUUUAAUCAGUGUGUACAUGUGCUAUAUGUCGUGCAGAGAAGGUUUGUCUUGGUGGGGUUGCCGUAGUUUAAUUUGGGAGGCAGCGCAAAUGACGCAAAGACGCAGUUUGUCCUAGUAGGGUUGCCGUAGUUUUUGUGUGGCAGUCAACGUCCACAGGCACAGAAGGGUCGAACGCCGAUCGUGUCAGAACAACUAAUUAUGGAAACGUUUUUUGCGGAGACAAAAAAGCAAUGAAGAGUACCGAAGCUUUCAACAAGAAUGGAAAGCAUUCGUACUCGACGUUGCCAGUAAACAUUUUGCCAACUUCCCAUCAAGACAAGAUCAUCAACCGAAUAAAAGAGACGCCUUUGCCGGCAAGAGCUGUUCACCGUCGAUUGCAAAUCAAAUUGAAUUAUGUUCAACAUUUACGGAUGAAAGUCUCAACGCCUGCGUGAAGCUUCAUCUGACCGCGUCAGAAACAGACUUGCAAGCCAUUAGCGAAAACAGGAAGCACCUGAAGUCGGAAUCAUGAGGAAAGGUCCCAAAUUCUGAUUUGACGCCUCCGAAGCUUUCGCGUCCAGGGCCCGUCUCGUCGUUCCCGAGCCACGGCUCAGCCGAAGCGAGGCAAACUCGGAGCGGCGUGCCCAAGAUCAACAAACUGGGCUGAAUACGCCGUGGGGCUGUAAGGCAAAAUAAGCACGGACGUUAUUCGCGGUGGUGUGGAUCGGCCUUGGGAGUAAUCCUGGGAAAUUGAUUAGUCAAGAAAAACAGCGGCAAUGCGGGUAAAAGCUUUUGGAAGGGAGUUUAUCUCAGAUGUGGUUGGCUCGCUAAUAAUAUGGUAAUUAGAUCAAUAUGCUUUUUGGGACGAUUGGCUAUGAAAGGAGACACCCGGGGAGGCCCCGCCACGGGCGUGACGGCGCAAAACAGAUCCUUGUCUUUUUCAAACACACAAAGGAGGCAAACUUUGAAAAGUUUUUACGCCUUUAUAAGCCCGAGACGUUCUGCUCGGUGGAGAAUUUGUCAUGUUUAUUUUUUAACUAGCUACUGAAAAGACAGCUGUUAUCGGGGAAAUAACCUGUAGUAGCUUUUUGCUCGAGUUCAUUUGCAAAGAUAACAUCGUAUAGCAAUCAUAUUAUCUUACUGUAUGUAUGUUUUUGUAAUUUAUCGCAGCAGUAUUGUUUUUUUUCCCCUGCCAGUUGGUGAGCAAACUGUCAGUUAGCAUUAGUUAGCUUCAAGUUAAGUCGCUGGGCGAAGGCGAACACAUUUAAAUUUGAGCCAUUUAUCGAUUGAAGCUUCAUUUUUAACCAUACAAUAAAAAAAAACUACAAGGAAAUUUUUUUCAAAAGAAACGACAUGAGAAGUAUUCUGUAUUCAAACAAUGUACUGCUUGUCCAAAAAGGAAUAGAAACAAUGAAAAUGAAAUGCUAACCCUUCACCAUGACCCGGGACAAAUUAUCCAUCAAAAAAUUCAAAUUCAUCUUUUCAAUUUGUUUAAAUUCAUAUUCAAUGAUAUACUAUUUGUCUGUAAUUGGAUUAAAUACAUUUUCCCCCAUGUGAACAAUGUAGCAUUAGCACGGUAGCUGUGAUCGCUCAAUUUGUUUGUUAUAUGAGCGAUUUAUAUACAAAUUGUGAACAUGGAGUUGCAGUCUUGAUUGUUGCCCAUAAAAAUAAUGCUAAACGAGCAUAAUUUAAAUAUUCCCGAAUGCUUGCCUUUGGUGUAUAUCUAGCUAGCUGAUGUUAGAAUGUUGCAUACUUUAUGAUCAAAUGCACUAAAAGCAAGGCCAGCUGCCUUUUUGCUAUUCUGGCAUUUGAAAAACAGUCGAAAAAGAACAUACCAAAAAAUAUUGUUCUUGUAGUUCAAUAUUAUUGUGUUUUUGAUUGGAGUUUAUUGUCGUGCUUUUACCACCAGUGUAAAAUUUGUACCUACUAGUUUUUCGCCAACUUAACCUAAGCGAGCUAGCACCUCAUGCAUGGCGUCUAUACUCCAGUUUGCGGCCUUAAUCGUUAAAAAAAUAAACACUUCUAGCUACGUUUUGGAGAAAAUGCCAAGAAUGCAAACCGUUAGUCCACAAGAUUUAUUUAAUAAACAUUGACUUUGUGUUCUGA